rnacentral:rRNA from 1 species
UACGUAGGGGGCAAGCGUUAUCCGGAUUUACUGGGUGUAAAGGGGGCGCAGACGGCGAUGCAAGCCAGGAGUGAAAGCCCGGGGCCCAACCCCGGGACUGCUCUUGAAACUGCGUGGCUGGAGUGCAGGAGGGGCAGGCGGAAUUCCUGGUGUAGCGGUGAAAUGCGUAGAUAUCAGGAGGAACACCGGUGGCGAAGGCGGCCUGCUGGACUGCAACUGACGUUGAGGCCCGAAAGCGUGGGGAGCAAACAGG